rnacentral:lncRNA from 1 species
AAAAUGAAUACUGAAAGCAGUUUGUUUGUCUCCCAAUGUUGGUAAAGAGGUAAGAAGACCUUCCAAAAAUGUUUGCUUUCCUACUUUUCCUUUUCCAGUUCCUAUUAAAAUGUCAAAUUUUGGAUUCCCAAUUUCAUUAAUCAUCAUUCUAAAUUGAUUAUUUAUAACUAAUAUUCUAAAUAAAAAAUAACACGAAACUAAGGUCAAUCUUAAUGGACUGAGGGGUAAAACUCUUAAAAAAUAUAAGAUAAAAUUACUUACACUUGAUAAAACUAAGAAUAAUUAUUUUUUACUUCUUAAUAUAAGGCCAGUUAUAUAUGAUCGUAUUAAAAUUUUAUAUUACAUAAGACAAUUUCUAGUUGUGACUUUCUUUUAUGUAAUACCCAGCAAAUCUAGGACUCUAGAUCAACGGUGGAUAGUAUAUUUUAAAAAAAUAAUUAUCAAAGUAAAAGCCUAAACUGAUUUUUUUUAGAAAAAAUAUAUUGAAACCAUGCUACAUUGGUCCUUGGAAAAAAAUAGUCACAUAUUUUGAUCCGAAAUCACUUUUCUCUUUACAUCUUUUUUAUUUAUCUUGUUAUUUAAAUAAAUGAUAUCUAUAUAGAUCUACUUUUUAUUUAUAUUUUCAUGUUAUUUUGCUGAUUAAAUGAAAAGUUAUUAGAUUUUUAUGAUCUCGUUUAAGUAUUUUUUUUUGUUUAAAUUAACUUUGAUUCAAUAUAGAUAUAUAUAUAUAUCAAUAACUCCAAUGUCAUCAAUGUUUACAAGUUCGAAGAUAAAAUUAUUUCAGCUACUUUAAUUUUAUCAAAUUUAUAAAUAUUUUGUCCUCUUAUACUAUUAAUCCGAAUAUUAAUCUUAUUUACAAGUUUACCGUUUUUAAUUUUAAGGAAUUUUUAUUUGCGUAGUUCUCAAUUGAUAUAUUUUAUUAAUUUGAAUGAAAUGUAUAUCAUUGUUUAAUAAAAAAUAAAAUUGCUUAAUUAAAUUAUAUAUUAAAAUAGGGAGAGUGAGAAAGAGAAUUGUUAUUACCAUCGUCAGUUGUAGCACUGAUCAACUUGAAAGCAAUAGAACGACCCAAGAAAGAAGUGGCGGUAUCAAGUAAAGAGCCGGCGAUAUCUCCGAUAGCGCCGAUGGCACCACCGAUUAUACCACCGGGGCUUUGAACUGCAGUGAGAGCGUUGAUGUCCAAAACAUUCUUUUGCAUCAACACCACAGUUCCUUUCAGCUUUUCGCCUCUGUUAAAAAUACCUUUCACCAAUGAAGCCAUCAAGCUAUGUUAAUUAAUUCACUUUCUUUGACAAAUGUAAGAAAAGCUCGUGUCUUGUAACCAUGGAGUGUGCUUAGUAUUUAUAGACUAUCGUAGUUGUCAUAAGAAGGUUAGAUCACUAAAAAUAUACUUUUUUAUUCAUUAUUUGACAACAUGUGAAAAUACAUUGGGACACAUCUCUUCAGCUAUUUUUUUUAUUUAUUUAUUAAAUUUUAUUUAUUAAAAAAUGUAGGAUGAUAAAAUAAUGUCUCAACUUAAGUUAGUGAAGAUUUUAUAGUUGAUUGAACACUUACAAAUAAUUUACAUUUGCGUUCUUUAAUAAUAUUAGAGGAUAUUUAGGAUAUCGAAUUUAAGAGAGAGAAUAGGUUGGGCCGAUGUAGAGUUUGUUAGGCUUGUAAAAAAAUUCAAGGUUUAAGUCUAGUUUGUCGGUUACAGACUUACUUUUUAAGUCUGAGUUUGACAUUGAUAAAAGUUGUGAUAGAAGUCUGGUAUUAUAUUAUCUGUUAUCAUACUUAAAAGCCUAAUUCAUUUCAAUAUUUUUGAAUAAAUAAUAAAAUAUAUAUUUAAAUAAAUUAAUGAAUUAAUAUGUCAAUAAAAUUAAGUUCUAUUUUGAUAUUUAACAUUAUAUUUUGAAGAAUAUGAUUUUAUAAAUAUAAAACUUAAAUUAUAUUUUAUAAUAAUACAUUUAAAUAUGUCAAAAACUAAAUGAUAUUAAUAUGCUAAAUUAUUAAAAGUUGAAUAUAUAAUAAAAAAAAAUCAAAAUUUAGUAUAAGAAUUAUACUGGUAAAAAAAUAUUAUUUAUAUUUAUUUAAAUAAGUCGACCUAAUAGCUCAAUAAAUUUAUCAGGUAGUUUGAUCUUUUUAACUAAUCUAUUUUAAAAAAAAAAAGUCUAACAUGAUCUAGACCUGACAUAUACUAUUAAUCUGAUCUAUUUUCAUCUUUAAUUCGAUCUAAUACCUAUUUUUUAGUGUUGUAUUAAUGUUGUUUCUUGUGCAAUUUUAUAUUUAUCGUGAUUAUCUCGUGGCUUAUAAAAUAAUAAUGUCAUUUGCAUAAUUAUUUUGAUUGUUCUUAUAUGUACCAGCUUUUACGUUAUGGGUAAUCAUGAGUCUAUUGCACUAUUGUUAAUUACGUUCUUACCUGUAAGCCGACCAAAAUAUUCCUUUUUUAUUUUUUUUAUUUUUUUAUUUUCAUACUCUUGUUUAGAAGUAAAUUUCAAAUUUAACCCUUAAUCUCACUUAUUCACUAAUUAAUUUAUUAAAGUAUUCUAAUUUAAUAUUUCUAAUGUUAAUCACGUUUUUGUUUUGUUUUAAGGGAUGGGUAACUUAAGAGUUAUCUUUAUAUCAUGGUAUAGAAAAUAUAAUUUAAAUUAUAUUUUAUUUUAUCUUAAAUCUAAAAUAAUGACAUUAUUUAACUAUUUCACAUAAAUUAAAAAAAUUAUUAUUAAUUAAAAUUUUCUUUUUAAUCAUUGAUGUAUUCUAUUUACCACAAAUAUAAAAUAGUGAAUAAUAAAUUGAUAGUGAUUAAUAUAAUUUAAUACUUAAUUGUAGUUCUGGACCCUUUGUUUUUAUCAAUUAAAAAAAUUGAUAUAUUUAUUUUAAAAUUCGACAGUUGUUGUCCUUCUAUAAAAAUUUUGAACUAAUAAAAAUGACAAUUUAAGGUAUUUUAAAUAAUGUGAGAUUCAAUUACAUGAUAUAGAAUCACCUAGAUAAAUUAAUUAUUUAUAUAUGUCAUUAAUUAAAUUAUAAAUAUGAAGAAAAAAAAUUGAAGUUGAAAGUUACAUUUUUAUAGUGUUUUAUUUUGAUUUUAUAAAUGUUAAUCAUUCUACGCCAUUUUAUCAUAUGACAUAUUAUUUAAAACAUGUAACGUGACCAUUUUUUAGUUAAAAAAUAGAGGGUCCAAAUUGUCAACUUUUAAAAUAUGAAAUUAGUUUCGUGAAUCAGUAGAAAUAUGAGAACUAAAACUAAAAUCAAACUUAAUAUUAAUUAGAUAAUACAGUUAAAAAAAAUUAAAAUUACAUUAAAAAAUGAUGUAAUUUAUACAUACAAUAUAAAUAAUUUUUAUAUUAUCAAUCAAUAACACAACCGUUAUAUUAUUAGAGGUAUUUAAAUUUUAUCAAAUUAUCUUUAAAAUUAUAUUCAUAAAUACAUAUGUACUUAUGAUAUAUUAAUAGUAUAAAUUUUUUAGAUAGUACAUAACAAUUAAUUUUGCGAUGUUCAGACGUGUUGACCCAAAUGACAUUCCUACAAAAAUUCUUGAAAUUCCUACAAAAAUGCUUUUAGUCUCUUCACAAACGGAUGUAGGAAUAAUCAUAACCUGAGGUUGCCCCACCUAUCUUAAUUAAAAAUUUAAAAACUAACUUGGUGAGAUUUGAAAAUCUUAAAGCAAAAUAUUAUAUCAAUAAAUAUACAUCAUGUGCGUGUACGGUGUAUGGUAAAUCCUUUUGGAAAGAUUUAUUCGUACAAACACAUAGCAUAUCACAUAUGUUAUUUAGACAUAAUAUAUACUAUUAGUUAAUGUCUUUUUUUCAUCGUAAUCAUACGAGUAAAGAGAACAUAUUAAUAAAAAAAAUUCAAAACUGUAUGUUAAUAUGGUUUUUGAUGUCGAAAUUUAUGUCAAAAUAUUAUUUCUGCAUAGUACAUAUAAAUAAAGAUUAUGAUAUAAUUUUUGAAAAAUUAAAAGAUUAUUAAAUAUUUAUUUUAUUUAUAAGUGUAUGUUUUUUUAGUUUUUCAUAAGUUAUUUUCACCAAAUGUAAUCUGUUAUGUUAGAUAUUAAAGUUGAUACAUCUUUUGAUGAAAAUUCAAACUUCAACAUGUUAAGUGCACAACAAAGCCUGGAUAAAACACAUUAAACAACUUUUAUCAUUUUAAGAGAUUUAUUUCAAAUAUGUCAGCUACAUAUACCAUUUAUGUGAUGGCCAUUUUUAAAUAGUAUAUUAUAAUAGUUUAACUUUAAUUUUUUUUUUUGUGUGACUAUUAUGUUUCCUAUUUUGGAUUAUUUACCAAUAAUAUAAAUUAUGUAAAUGUUAUAAAAAUGUAUAAUUGAUUUUGGAAACAAAUAUUAUUUCCAUAAAUAAAUUGAAGUUAUCAAAUAAUAUUUUGGGACAGAAACGGUAGUAAUUAUUAUAAGCAUGUUUUACAAAAUAAUUUUUUUAAUAUUCUAAAUAAUAAGUUAUUGAUGUAAUUAAUUUGAGGUUAAAUAUAUCCCCUUAAAUUUAAUUACAUUAAUUAAAUAGUGCAAAUUUUAUAAAACUAUUUUUGUAUUAAUAAUUCAUUUGUGCCAAAUUAUAUGUCAUUUUUCCAAUUUCACAUAAAUUAAAAAAUAUUAUCAAUGUUGUAUAAAAAAGAGAAAUUAUGAUUUGUUUUAUAAAAUAUCGUUCAUUAAUGAUAUAAGAACGAUAAAUUUAAAACAUUGAGAAAAAAAAAAAACAAAGUAAUACAUAGUAAAAAGUUUAAUAGCAAAAGAAACAUUAAUAAUUUAGUGAUACCGGAAAACAAUAUCAUUUAGAAAGAAAUUAUUGAACACUUAUCUAACCAUUAAUAGUCGAACAUAAUUAAUCAAAUAUCAAAUAAUUAUAAGCAAUAAAAAUAAUUAUAAAAUUCUAAUUUGUCAAAAUAGCAAAAGAAACACAUCAUCGUUUUUCCUCUUAACUUCAUAGUAUCCAGUGCAACAUCCUCAACUCUCACUAUAUCGACAUAUGAAAAUUAAAGCGAAUCUUAAUUCUUUCAAACCUCUCUUUGAAUACAUGAGUGACAUUGACUUGAAUCCCCAAAGAUUAAGUUCACCCUUUAUAUUUUUUUUAACCUAUUAAAUAUAGUUUUUAUUAAAUAUUUCAAUGGUUAACAUUUGUCAAAUAAAAUAACAAAAAUAACAAAAUCAUACAGUUAUUUUAAAAAAUCAUUUAUGUAAUAUAGUAAAAAAGAAAAUAUUAAUGUUUUAUUCACUACACUAUUAUUUAAAAUAAUAAGGACCAUAAUUAUAACUCAUACUAAUAGAAUUUUAACACGUGUAUCACACGUACUUAUAUCAAUGGUAAUCUAUUCUGCAUCAAUUACCAUUAACAACAUAAACAACAUAACUUGUAUAAAACAAAUACUAUAAGUCAUUCAGUUUAAGAAAUAGAGUUCAAUUUAUUAUUUGAUAUUGUCACCCAUUUAAUCAAUCACUGCUCUUUUAUUCAAUUACAAAUAUGAUUAAUAUUUUAAAAUAUCUUGAAAUUAUUUUUUCAAUUGUGUUACUUUAAGAGCAUCCUAAUUUUGGUACUUUAAGAGCAUUCACUUAAGUUUAUCUACUUAUUUUAAAUGAUUUUGAUGAUUUUGAAAGGAUUUUAUCAUUUUGUAUAACUUUUUUAAAAGAGAUUUAAAAAUAAAAGUUUUAAAUAAGAAAUUAGUUUGAAUAGCUUCUAUUUUAAGUAUUUCAUCAUUUUAUUACAAAUUUUUUUAGAUGAUAAAAUUUCAAAAAUUGUUUAAAAUAUGAAGCUAUUAAUUUUGAGUAGUUUCUCAUAAAAAUCAUUUUCAAGAUGUAUUUUUUUUUAAAACAAUAAUUUUUUUAUUUUUUUUAAAUAUUUAUAUUAUUAAAUAUUAAAAUUAUUAUUUUUAAAUCUAUAACAUAUAACUCUUAAACAACUUUUAUUGUUUUUGAAUAGGUUUUCAUAAAAAUCAUUUUUCAUUUAAUCUAUAACAAACAUACCAAUAUCUUUAUUGUGUAGAUUACUUUUUCAGCGCAUUAAUUACCACUUUUUCCAUGCCAUAUUGCAGAAUUGUAGUACUGCUAGCUAGCUACGUACAAACCUUGGUGUUCUUAAUUCAUUCAUUGAAUCCAAACAUGAAGGUUGCAUUUCAUAUUACAUGUCUAACAAAUACAAGAGAUACAUACAUCAUAUGUAGUUCUUAGUAAAGUAAAACGUAAGAGUGAACAACCAAAGAUACAAAGCAAACAUGACAUGAUUGUGAUGAGGGAAUUUGAUUGCUACUCAUAUUUUAUUCAAUGCCGCAACACAACAAACCAUCAACCUCUUUAUAUGGAGAUACUAUUGGGAAUGUCUCUACAAGUCAAUCCUUUAUCACUAGAAGGAUAAAGCAAAGUGUAAGGCAUUUUCACUAGUCCACGUCGGUUUCUCAAUGACUCAUCAUUGUUCCUUUGAAUGAGCAUUUGCUCAAUUUUUGCCAACUUCUUUCCAAACCUCUUGAAAGCCUCAAUUGGUUGUGAAUCAGAAGUCCAAAGAUCACCUUUAACUCUUUGUCCAAGGUAUACAACAUAUGGAUAGUCCUCUGUUAAAAGACGAAUGUCGUGUGGAGAAGUUGAUCCUCAAUAGCCACUCUUCUAGAUAACAAGCAAGGAAGAUCACUACUAAAAAUUUCACUUUUAGUGACCGAUUUGGAGACUAAAUUUUUUCGAUCACUUUAGAGACUGAAUUAGAGACCAAAAUACAAAACUGUAUAAAGAACCAUUUUUUUGUCACUAAAUCGGUUGCACAUGAUAUUUAGAGACUGAUUUAAUGACUUAAGUUUUAGUGACAAAAAAAUCGAUCUCUAUUAUUUAUAUCUUCUUUUUAAUUAAAAUUGCUGGCAAAACUUUUAUUAAUGUCUAUUUUUGUUACAACACAUAUUUUUAUUACAUCACAUUUUUCAUUUGCGGCAUAUUUUGUUUUAAUUGGACAUAUCUUUGAUUUUGUUUUGUCUCAUCAGUUUCUCAUAAGAAAUCAUCUCAAAAUUUAAUUGAUUUGUGGACAUGAUUUUGUAUUUAAGUGUAUUACGUGUUUUUUUUUAUAAAUGAAUGAACAUCAAUGUUUUAGGAAUCACUAUUAGAAAAACCGAUUUUAGCGUCGGCCAAAAGCCCACACUAAUGUUGACUUGGCGUCCGAUUAGCGUCGGUGUCGGCCUAGGCUAAAACCGUCGAAGUCAAUAGCGUCGGUCAAAUACCAUCCCAAAGUAAAUGCAUCCAACACUAACAAAUAACAAUACCUUCAAAUUAGAAUCCGCUAGUUUAUAUCCUGAAAAAAUUCUAUUGCGUCGGAAUUACGGUCGACAAAUUAGUUAGCGUCGGCUACUCCGACGCAAUGGUCAACUAAUAAAGUAAGUGGACUAUUAAUAAAAGUCAACUUUGUUACUAAUAUAGCGUCGGGCAUGCCAAUGCUGCGAUCAACAAUUGAAACGUAAACAACAAAGAACAAAUCAAAUAAAUGUAGUUAAAUAUGUCACCACAAGCAUGAUAUAAUUGAUAAUGCAUAAAAAACACUUUAACAAAUGCCUAAUUCUUUCACCAGGUUCCAUUAUGCUUCAUUAUUAUAUACUUAUAUCAUAAAUCCCAGAUAGACAUCAAACAGAGAAAAUAAACCUUGCCUUGCAAAACGAGGUAAAGAACAACGUCAAAUUCUGUAUAAAUGCCUAAACAGAGGGUGCAAAAAAGCCAAGGUUAGACAUUGCAAACAAUUCAGGAAAUUGGGCUUCUUAUUGAGAUGAUGAAUACUGUUGCUUAUUUUUUAAAACCACAUGUAAUAAUAACUCAUGUAAAUUGUUGGUUUUUUAGAGGAAUGAGUACGCAUACAUGAAUGUAGUAUGUGUGUGACCCUCUUAGAUUCAUUAAGAUUAAUGUAUGAAAACAUUUAAAAGAAUAAUGAAAUAGAUUGCAGUAAAAAGAGCAUUACCAUUGCUCCCUUCAACAAUUCCUGCGGGUUCAGAGAGCUGCAAAACAUUGAUAAAUAUGUUUUAACAUAUAUCCAUGGCUAUUAGGUAAGUAAGACUUCAUUUGUUUUGAUUUGUUAUGUUGAUAUUAAUUUGCAUGAGCAUUUACAUUAAGUCGCUUGCACAUGAAAUAUUAAUUACUAAUAGAAACUUGCAGGCUGACCAGUCAAUCUUAGUGUCACAAGAACUAUACAUAAAUAAGAAUGAGGAGAGAAUUUUGAGAAACUUCAGCAAAGACAGAAUUUGGAAAUUGCACAUAAAGACAAAAGGAACAUAUAAAAUAUCAUAACAUAUAUUCCCCUUUGAAGUAUUACACACACACACAAAUACAAUCAAUUGAGCCAUGCACUCAGCCCCACUCAACUCCACCUAGUAAAAAGUGGUUUGCUUGUUGUUGACAAUGAUAAAGAAAUCUAAUUAUAGAAGCAAAAUUAGUACUGCAAGGCGCAAGCUAUAAAAGGCUUCACAAAUUGUCCGAGAAGAGAGGAUCACCACCAGCUAGCAAACGAGAUCCUCCUGUUUUCAGAUCAACUCUUGAUCAUUGGUACAGUAAGGACAUAAUUCGAACAACACAACCAUAAUUCGAACAGUACAGUCAAACCCUAAACCAAAACUGAACACAAACGACUUAGAUGGUUAAGGUUACAAUUACAUCGAGAAUGGAUGACAGUGAGAGUGAGCCUGAGAGACGAAAGUGAGAGUGAAUUUGAGAGACGAGAUUGAGACGGCGAAAGUGAGUCUGAGAGAUGAGCGGACGAGAGUGAGAUUGGGGGUGAGGCUGCGAGAGUGAAUGUGAGGCGAGGGAAACGGUGACACGGCGACGAAAGGGUGAGAGUGAAGAGUCAAGGGCGAGGGUUAGGGAAAAAUUAAUGAAGUGGGGAUAGGGAAAAUGGGGUGGGUGAGAGAUAAUAGGAAAAAAUAAUUUUAAUUUUUCAAAUAAGAUUAAAAGAUUUAAUUUUACAAAUCAGACAAUGUAGCGCCAGUCGACCUAAACGGCCAUAUUUUACUUAGCGUCGGCUAAGCCGACGCUAAUGUUUAAGCGGAAAAGAAAUUAAUGAACAUCAAUGUUUUAGGAAUAAAUGAACAUCAAUUUUAGGAAUGUUUGCAUAUAUUUGGGUUUAGAUAUAAGUCAACUAUAUAUUGUUUGAUUUGAUUCUAAAGAUGAAAAAAGGAUUUUGGAUAAGGAGCAGCAACAACCAUUCUAUCAUUGCAAACUCAUUUGAGUUUGUUAAGUUGCCAAUUGUGGCUAUAUAUUUUUGAUGAUUCAUUUGUAUUUAAAAUGAUUUGUUCAAUAUAUUCAGCAAAUAAUGCAUAUUAUUGGAAUUAGCACUGAACAAAGCAUAUGUUAUUUUGAAAAUGAAAAAAAUAGUGUUUUGAGGAGGAACUAUAAUUUCUCACCCGUUUGGAAAUUGUUUAACUUCUUAUUUCUCAAUCUAACACACUCACAUAUUAGGGCUAUUCUGUACGUGGUGUUUAGCUCUCAUUUAUGAGAAAAUUUCAAUGGCAACUUUAGGUUGUUUCGUUGGUUAGUAUGAUUGACUUAUUUAUGUUACAAACAAUUUUGAUUUGUUUUUUAUUGAAAAGCUUCUUUUCUUUCGUAUUGUUUUGUUCACUUGUACAAUGAUUGACUAUCUAUGUAUGCAUCUACAUUACCUAUAAAUCUUAUUUGGAUUUUAUCCAAAAGCGCUUCAUUUUCCUAAGGUUUAUGUGAAUUUUAGUUGCUAAAAUAUUUUCAUUGAAUUAUUCACUAAACUAAAAUUGAUUAGUCACUUACUAAUAUUAUGUAAAGUUUCAAAUAUUAAGAUUCUUCUAUUGUUGGUUAUUUUUAUCAACAACUUACAAGAUCACUUUUUUUAUUUAGGUCCCGCUGAGGAACUUGUUGAAAAACCGUUUGUUGUCAUAAAUUGGCCACAAUAUUCAAAUUUUAUAUUUUUCAAGCUAAAUACCCUAUCAAAAAGAAUUAUGAGAUAAACACUUAUUACAAAUAAACAUAAAAAAUAUGAGAUAAAUAUUUAUAAAAGAUAAAUUUAAAAAGCGCAUGAAUAAUAUUUAUCAUUAUUACUUUAAAAAAAUAUAAGACAAAUAUUUAUCACGAAAAGUAUAAAAAGCACGUGAUAAAUAUUUAUCAUUGAAAAAUAUAAAAAAUACCAGACAAAUAUUUAUUACUGAUAAAUAUAGAAAUACAUGAGACAAAUAUAUGUUAUUAAUAUAUAAAAAAUAUAUGACACAUAUUUAUCACCGAUAAAUAAAUAUAAAUAAAAAAUACGGAACAUAUAUUUGUCAUUGAUACAUAAAAACAACAUGAAAAAAAUAUUUAUCACAAAUAAAUAUAAAAAACACAGGAUAAAACUUUGUCACAGAUAUAUAAAAAGAAAUAUGAAAAAAAUAUUUGUCAUCGAUAAAUAUUAAAAAUACACACAGAAUAUAUAUUUUUCAUCGAUAAAUAUAAAAAAUUAUGGGACCAAUAUUUAUCAUUGAUACAUAAAAAAAAAUACAUAACUUAUAUUUGUCAUUAAUCAAUUUAUAAAAACAAUUGUGACAAAUAUAUGUCAUUAAUACAUAAAAUAAGACAAGAAAAAAAAUUGUUGAUAAAUUUAAAAAAGCACAAAACAUAGGGCAAAUAUUUAGUAUUAAAAUCAUACACGAUACAAAUAUUUGUCUUUAAAAAAUUAGUUAAAAUUAAUGUUAUUUUUAAUAUCUGAUACAUAAAAAUAAGAAUAAUUAUAAUACCGUAUUUAUAAAUAAAAAAAUAUACUCAAGACAAUUGUUUGUCAUAAUUAAUUAAUGAUUUAAAUAUAUAUUUGAUCAUCAAUUAUAGUAUUUUUUUAUUUUAGUCCUCAUAUGUUUUUUUGUUUGAUUCACAUCUCUCCAAAUACAUAUUCAUUUUAAAAUGGAGGGAGACAAUAAAAAUUAGAGUUUUCAGUUUUAGUUUCCCUUUAAAAAAAUAAUCAAAAAAUUAUUUUUUAUAAAAAAAUUUAUUUAAUACAUUGUGUCGUCAACUUAAUAUUUUAAUUACUUAAUGGUGUUAGAAUUUUUUUAUCAAAAAUUGGUCUAAAAGACUAUUUUAAAAUGAAUAUGUAUUUGUAGGAAUGUGAAUCAAACAAAAAAAUUUACGAUAACUAAAAUAAAUAAAUAAAAUAUUAUAAUUGUAAGGACUAAAGACGUAUUUAAAUCUUAAUUAAUUAAUUAAUUUUAAUUUAAUUAAUUAAGUUUAACUUACAUUUGUCUUUUUUGCUUAAUUUAAUUGGUUAUGCUUCAACAUUAUAGUAUCGUGCUUCGAUUAUAUCAAUUAAAUUUUUUGAUAGUAAAAUGUUAUAAUUUAUUUUAACAUUUAUGCAAAUAACAUAUCAUAAUUAUUUAUAUAAUAUUUAACUAUUCAUGUUAUAAUUAAGUGUUAUGUAUUUUUGUCCAAAUGACUUGUCCAAAUAACUGUGCCCAACCAAGUAUUUUUCUUUGUGCAUAGAGUAAUUUGCACUGUUGUAGUUAUUGAGUUAUUAUUUGUUUUGAAGUGAUUGAGUUAUUAUUAGUUAAGUUUAUUUUACUCAAAACUUUGUUAUUUGUUAUUUUAUAAGCAAAUAUAAAUAAUUAGUUAGAUUAUAUUAAUAUAUGAGAUCAAAUUUGAGAUAUUUUGAUUGAAAUGUUAUAUAGUAUAUAUAUAUAUAUAUCCCAUUAUGUUAGAUUAUUCAAUUAAUUAAUUAUUAUAAAUUAUGGCUAAUUGCUAAUAAAUAUUAAUUAAUUAUUAUAAAUUAUGGCUAAUUGCUAAUAAAUAUUAAUUAAUUAAUGAAUCUGUGUUGAAUUAUGUUUCUUAAAUCCAAUGAAAAGACUAUCCUUAAUAUUUUAUAGAAAAUUUGUCUUCGAUAGUAUAAAGUUGACCAAAAUACGUUACUAUAAAUCAACUUCUGUUGAUGUAUUAAGCAUCGGAGAGCAAAAAUAAAGGUGGAGGAAUACUUACCGACCUUUACACCAAUUUAUUUUUGUGUAAUAUCUUUUUUAAAAUAAAAUUGAUCGAUUUAAUAUUUGUUGAGAUAAUAUUAAUUUUAAAUAAAAAUUUAUUAAUAUUAAAUUUAAAAACAGUAGAAUAUAGAGGUGGAAAAAUCAAUCGAAUCGACAAUUUGUUUAUAUAAUUUAUCGAUCUCAGUUUUAAAUUUUAUACAUAAAAUACUAAAAUAUAUAUGUAAGGGAUUUUCGUUUUUAAUUUCAAGAUCCCUAAAUGUCUCUUACUAGAAUUAUUUUUUAUUUAACUAUUUUUCUAAAAGUUGAUUGAAAUUUUAUGUUUUUAUCAAUACAAGAACAACAUAUUAAUUUUUCACGUAAUUUCAUGAUAUGGAUUAAGAGAGAUAAUUUGUUUUUAAUUUUAAAAACUCUAAAAUGUCUCCUUGUUGUUUAAUUAUUUUUCUAAAUGUUAAUUGAAAGUUUAUAUUCUUAUGAUUAUUGCACUCAAAAUAUUAACAAUUACAUGAGUUUAUUUUAAAAUUGAACUCAAAAUAUUAACAAUUACAUGAGUUUAUUUUAAAAUUGAGAGAACUUUAAAUUCCAAUUUAACUGAUUUAAAAUCAAAAUCAACAAUAUAAAUAUUUACGAAUAUAAAAGACUUACUUAAAAAAUAAAAAAGGACUAACGUUGAAAGUUAAAAGAUAAAUCUAUUAUAUUCAUAUAACUUAAAAAACUACAAUAUAUAUUUGCAUAAAUAAAUUUAAUAAUAUAAUAUUAUUACUUUUUAAGGUAAAAUAUGAUUAGUUAGUAUUACUUUCACAAAAGAAAAUGAAAAUGAGGUGUAUUAGUGUAUGAUUAUUACCUAACAAUAUAUAUAUUGGCCAAACAAUUGGUUCCGGAAAAAUCAUAAGGGUGUAUUAAUACUUUUUCAGCACUAUAUCAUUUUUCUUCCAUACAAUAUUGCAGAUUAAUUCGCACUACUACCUUUAUAAAAGCAUAAGUAUUAUUCUAUGGUACCAUUUUGUAAGUUUUAUUUUUCAAACUCUCUAACACAUCACACAUGAUAUUGCAGUCUCUUUAUAACCUUUUACAUAGAAACUGAAUAGAAUGUAUAUGCAAUAUUGAUGCUUACGGUAGGACAAUUCACUACUAGAAAAACAAGCUUUAGCGUCGGCCAAGAACCCACGCUAAAAACAAAAGGCCGACGCUAAAUAUGAUUUAGCGCCGCAGCAGAGGCUCAAUCUAAAAGGCUCGAAGCUAGUCAUUCGCGUCGGCUUCUUGUCAUCGGACGCUACAAUCUAUGGCAGAAUGGCCGAAGCUACAUGUUGUGUCGAUGAAACCGACGCUAAAUAGCGUCGGUUAGGCCUACGCUAACAUUGAAAAUCCCAAAAAAUAUAUCGCGAUACAGAACCACGUAAUAUAAAAGCUGUGUUAAUAAAUCCACAACGCAAAUUACAAAUAGUUAUUACAAAAAAAUAUUAUUGCACACGAAAAAAAGAUAAAAUAAAUAAUAGUAUAUCAAACUUAGAUGAAAUUAAGGUAAUUAGAGAAUCGAAUGAAUAGCAUAGUCCACCUUAAAAAAAAAAAACGAUAAGCAAUUAAAUCUAGAUUUGAAUUUUGUCAUUUUUAAUUAGAACAUUGUUCACUUGUUCUAGAGUUCUAUAUAAAUACAAUGUGUUUUUCCACUCUCAAAUUCCUUCAAAUAUUACCACCAUUUCAUUAUAAAGGAAAAAAGAAAGUAUUUUCGGUCUAAAAUGAAAAAGUAUACGAUAAGACUUACUCUUAUUAAGGGGAUUAGCACAAGGUCUUACAAAUUCUCUAAAAUUACCUUACCCUCCAAGAUCAAGAAGGAGAAACUUUACAAACAACUUAAAAGUAAGUUUUUGAGGCCAUUUACUCAUGCAAAAUACAUAUAAACCUCAAUAAAAAUUUCACAUAAUCCCAUCUCAUAAUAGAACAUAAAAACUAAAAAAAUAAAAAUAACAUAGUACCUUUCCUUGAUAAAGAACAAAAGGUAGGAGAAUAAGAAAUGCAGCACAGGGAAAAGAAAAUGAUAAUGGUAAAACAUGUAAGACCCAAAGAUCUAAGAUAACCCAUAAGCAUAGCAUUCCCAUCAUAAACAAAUUGCACACCAUUUCCCUCCAAUUACAGCCACAUCUUCCAUCAUACCAUAACUCAUCAUUUUUACUCAUUUCUUAUAAUUCCAAAUUCCAAACAUGAGAGGAGUGAUUUAUAUUUUAGUCUAUCCUCUCUUUUAUAUCUCAAUUUCAAUUCCCUCUAUACUCAAUAAUUCUCUCUAUCAUAAAUCAUAUAUUAAACUAAUAACAAGAAAAUGAAUAUGGAACUAAUCAUGAGAGUAUUGAUGAUGUAUGCAAUCCAAGUCUCCACAAUAAAAGUUCUAUUAGUUUUGAAGUCUAAGGUCUACAUCACUAACACAUAAUCAACUAGAAGACAAUAAGUGCGAAUUUAAUACUUACAAGCUCAAGUUCCACAUCAAUAUGAGCCUUGUGGCAUGAGGUCUGGAACGCUCUUCUUCUUGGUGAAGCUCGACGAUCUUAUUUUGAUUGGAGAUGUUCUUGAAUUUUACGCCUUCCCUGUAAGCUUGAAGACAAAUCCAAGCUUCCUCACCUAGAAAAAAAUAUAUGAACUUAAGAAACAAAUCAAACAUGACAAUGUAAACAAUUUGUAAACUAGACAUAGAUUACCAAUGAUAAAUAAGGGUAACAAUAAGAACAAUCAACUUGUAAACUAGACGAUGAGAUCAAUAAUCUAUUACAACUUACAAGAACCUCAAAAUAUAGAUUAUGCAAGUAUCAACCAAUAAUUGUGAGUCAGAAUGCUUCCAUCAAUAAUCUAUUGCAACUUACAAGAAGCAAACGUGCUUUUCUUAUAAUGACACAAUAACUAAAUCCCUAAGUUACAUCUUUGUUCACAUAAGGUAAAAUUAAAAGGUAAGUUAUCAAACAUGCAAAUAAGGAACAAAAAAGCUUAACCUUGUUCAAUAUAAACAUUAAAUUUAAAUAACAAAAGAAAAUCAUAAGUCUAAUAAUCAUCAAUCUCAAUCCAAUGCUCAAAAUAUACUUUAGUUCAAUCAAGGCAGGUGCAGCUAAAGGUCUUACUGUUUCCAAAUCACACCAUAAUAAUGGAAAUAAUGAUCUUUUCAACGUGGGCUUCAUCGCUAGGUCUGCUGCAAAGAUUCAAGCUAUAGCUAAUAACAAAUUCAUCCUUCUACAUGAUGAGGACAAUGCAUGUAGCUCAAACUAGACUGUAAUUGAGGAUGAACUAGGGAUUAAUGUUAAUUCUCAAGGCUACAUCCCUCCAAAUGACAGUACCCUGUAAGUUACAGAGAUAUCAGAAACACCUUUGGAUGAUAUGACUACAAGAUUUGGAGUUGCACCCUCCUUAACAUUUUUUAGGAACACAAGGCACAAUUGCACCUUAUUAAGCCACAAUAAGAACAACAUUUAUCAACAUACAAAAUCAAUCACUAACAACAAUCAAAUGUAAACUAACCAUGAUUAUGAGACAUCACAUCCAGAUCCACUAAUCUGCAAUUCAAUCACAUAAUAGUUUCAUAUUUUUCAGACUUCAGUAAAAAGAACAGAACAUGGCAAUAUCAAAAAAAAUUAGGGUUCAAGGAUCAAAGUAGCUUACCUGAUGCUGCAAGAGUUGUGUGAGGGCUUCCUAGAAGAGAAGGGAGAAGUGGUCAUAUGACUGUGAAUAGAGGUCAAAAAUCAUAUUUGAACAAUGUAACAAUAAUGCUUUCUAAAAUAUGGGGUUUAGGAUUUUAUAAAAAUUGAGAGAAAAUGAAAGAUUAGAGUUUCAUAAAAAUUGUUCCUUUGAAACUCAAACUCGAGACUUUAGGAAAGAAAAACUCACCUUUGAAUAAAAUGAAGACAACAGUGGAGGAAGAAAAGUAUGGCAUGGCAGUGAUAAACCAAAACUUUCUGCAAAGAAAAAACUGGAAGGAAAUUAGAAUAGACAAGAAUGAGGGAAACGAGAGUGAUGAGAAUGAAUGAGGGAAAGAAAGGAAAAUCGUGAAGGUUUUUUUGGUGUGUGGGGCAAAAAGAAAGGGAUGAAGGGAGGAGAAUGGAAGGAAGAGAACUGGUGGAAAGAGACGAGAGUGGACGGUUAAAACCGUAUUUUCUAGCGGUUAUUAUUACCUAGAAUAUAACCCGGGCAAUACUUCAUAAUUCUAUAAAUAAGUAGUUAUUGUGAAUAAGAUUUUAAAAAUAAUAUAAUUUAUUUAUUUUAUUUGUAGAGUAAUUUUUUUAAGUGGAUUUAGUAGAGUAAUUAUUAUAUAUAAGUUGACAUACACACAUUUGAGAAUAAGUAAAAUGUUUUGUAUAGUGAAGAUCAUCCUACAAAUAAAAUUCAUAAAUUAUAUUUAUUGUUAAAAAUCUUAAAAAUAUUUUAAUAAAUAUUAAUAUAUAUAAUUAUCUACCACAAAAUUAUAUUAAUCAUGCUCUUCUUUUGUGUUGUCAAAAUAUUGUUAGAAAAAUAUGAAAAUAAUUUUAUCAUUUAGUAUUCAUUUCAUUAUAAUCUGUAAAAAAAACAAAUAAUUUUUUAAUCUAAAUGGUAAAUAGUUUUAUCUCAAAGACACAAUAAUAACACUCAUAUAAAGCUGAAUAUGGACAAUAUUAUUUGUCUUUUGAGAAGCCAACAUACGAUCAUGUCGUAGAUGAGAUCACAUAUGUCUCUAAAAACAAUAUUAUAACUAAGAACAAUCAAGAUUUUGAGAAAAAUGAACAAAUAAGUAUAAUAUGUUACAAAAUACCACUUACUCAAAAACUAUUUGUACAAAAAAAAACAAUUCCAACUAUAUCUACUUCUUUGAAAUAAUUGGGUUGCAAAGAGAUUUUCUUUUGAGUUGAUAAAGUGGAGUUGUGAAAACUUAUAUGCAUAAUGUUUUCUCAUGACAUUGACAAAUCUUAAAAGUUAAUAGCAUAAGUUGCGAUAUAUAAGUUAAUUGCAUGAUGCUGCGAAAUAAAAGAUAAUUGCAUAAGGUGUGUUAAAAUAGCUACAAGAAAAAAAUAUAUUGACCAUUUAAAUAUUGGAGUUUCAGUUACCAAAAUAUAAUGUCAAAAUAAAUAUUAGAGUUUCAGUUUUGUUUUUAAUAAAACACUAAUUGUAUAGAUUAUUUGAAGAAGUAGAAUAGUAUACGUAGAAGAAAAAAACUUAUAUAUUGAUUGUACUUAAAUUUGUAACUCAUGACACAUUAAUAGUUAUACAUACUAUUAUAUGUUAAAUAAUAAUAAUAAUAAUAACAACACAACAUUUGAUAAAGAUGUAGGAGUCUAUUUUAAUAUAUAUAAUAGAUAAAAUGUGUGUUAAAGCAAAAUGAAAGUUGAAUAAUAAAGAGAAUUUAAGCGGAAAAACCAUUUAGAUGUGGCACAUGAGAUUUUUGUUGAGGUGACAAUAUUUGAAUGAAAUGACAUAAUAUUAGAUGAUUUUUAAGUGGGAGUCUAUUUUAAUUUAAGAUUUUUGUUAAAGGGACAAUAUUUGAAUGAAAUGCCAUAAUAUUAGAUGAUGUUUAUGUAGGAGUCUAUUUUAAUAUAUUGUUUAUCUAAAAGAAAAAGGUUUAAAAACAUGUAAUGAUGGAAGAAGAGAUAGAUAAACCUUUAAAAUGAUUCAAUAUAUUAAUUGAUAGUUAAAACAUACAAAGAGGAAAAAUUGUUAUCAACAAAGAGGAAUAAUUGUUAUCAAUAAUGAUGAGGAAACACCGUUAAUUAUCAAUAAUGAUGGAGGAAUAAUGAAUGUCUAAUAAUUGAUAACAUAUUUAUUUAUUGUGUUGUAAUUUGUAACUUAUAGCAUAUGAAUAAUUUUACAAAAUAUAUAUGAAAAAAAUAAAUUGCAAGUAUGAUAAUAAGAAAGAGGAAGAAUCUUGUUAGACGUGCCACAUCAAUUUUUUUUUUAUGGGACAAUAUUUGAAUGAGAUGACACAAUAUUUGAUAAACACGAAGGAGUCUAUUUUAAUAUAUAUUAUAGAUACAUUUUUUUAAUUAUUAUAUAUAGAUACAUAUAUAUCACAGAUCUAGUUUGUUACAAGGUAAAACAAACACAAUAGUUCUUAUUGAUUAAAGUAAAACAUAAUUAAACAAACAUACAUGGUAAUGUAACCGUAGAUAAUGAGUGAGGGAAUUGAAUUCCUUCUCAUCUGUUAUUCAUAUUCAUAGUAGAAACACAACAACCAUGACCUUCUUUAAAUAGAGAUACUAUUGGGAAUGCCUCUAAAAGUCAAUCCUUCUUCACUAGAAGGAUAAAGAAGAGUGUAUGGCAUCUUCACAGGUCCAUUUCGAUUCCUAAGUGUCUCAUCAUUGUUCCUUUGAGUGAGCUUUUGCUCAAUUUCAGCCAACUUCUUUCCAAACCUCUUGUAGGCCUCUAUUGGUUGUGAGUCAGAAGUCCAUAGAUCACCUUCAAUUCUCUGUCCAAGGUAUUGCUCAUCAGAAGCAUGCCUUGACAAGACCUCUAUAAUGGUCAGGUCAGUAAGGGUAUCAUUCUUUGGUGUGAUUGUCCUCAAAUAUGUCUUUUGGUAGUUCUUAGCAAGUUCAUCAUACUCAGGGGAUCCUUUCUCAGGCAUAUAUCUCCUACUUUUAGUUGGUCGGUUAAGGAUAUAUCCUCCAUAUGGAUAUUGUCCAAAAUUAACAGCUGCAUGAAGUGCUGAAGCAAUCCAUAUGAGAAUGGUGCAAGCUUCAAUCAACUCUUUACGAGUUUGCAUCUUAAACCACCAUGUAGCAUUCUUCAAGUCACCAUGACCAACCUCUACAAGUUCUUUCCAAAAUGCUUGGAGUUCAGAAUCUUGUGCAAUAGCAUCAUCUGACUUGUAGUAAAAAUUCACAUAUUCUUCAACCCAUGACUUGAUAGCAGCCCAUAUUUCUAGUCCAUCAGAAGCAUAAGGGUAGUCUUCUAUUAGAAGGCGAAUACCAUAUGGUGAGGAUGGAUCCUCAACAGCCACUCCCCUAUAUAACAAGCAAGGAAAAUAUAAUUAAAAUAUAAAAAUUAGAUCAAUAUCUUUUUUAACAAAUUAAUGGAGUGACCCUUUUGUAAGGUUACCUUUUAUGUAAUUAAAAUAUAAAAAUUAGAUCAAUAUCUUAAACCACAAAUUAAUGGAGUGGCUCAUGGAUGAAAUAUUUUGUAAUUAAGAUUACCUUUUGAGUAAAUCAUAAGGUAGUCCUUGCUCAGUGAAAACCCAAUCCUUGUAAACAGUAGAAGACAUUUCCAAAGCAUAUCCACCCCACAAGAAUGUUGAUUCUAUAAUACCUUCGGCAUUGACAAGGACAUUUCGAGCAAGUGCAUUUAUGUUCAUUGUAUCACGAUAAUGUGGAAGUAAAAGUUUAUGAAUAGGAUGAACCACACUAAGAUGUCUAUUUGUUGCUAUGAUGAAUGGCUCAACAACAGCGUGAGUGUUCAACCUGUCACAUAUAUAUAUUCAUGAAUUACUCAUGGAUAGAUAAAACAUGUUACAUUGUACAAACAUCAUUAAUGAAACUCAUACCAAUGGCUAACAAGUUGGUGAUAACAGGAGUCAUUUACAACAACAUAAGCCUUGGAAAGUAGCCAAAUUGAAGCUUCAACACCUUCGCUUGCCGGCAAGUAUACAUUACUAACAGGACCAAAACUAUCACCUUGAGGAUGUGGCCUACUUAGCUCAAUUGCCAAUGGCUUCAAUGUUCCAUCAUUUUGCAAGAAAAGAAUGGUUCUUGUAGCAUAGGCCUUAGUGUCGGUUGCAUUUAUUUUCCUCAAAUAUGGAAAAAGUGGAUCGUGGUGAUCAAGUAUAUACAAUCUAUUAUUUUGGAUGGCCUGUUAAACAAAAUAUAAUUUUUUUGAUGUGGUUCAUUUGAAUAAAAACAAUCAAUUUUGCUGAAAAAGAAAAAUAUAAUGAAUCCUUUUGGGGAGUGUCCAAUUGUCUUACCUCUUCUACGGUGACACCACUCAUGUUUGGCUCUAAGUGUUCUUUGGUUAUUGUGCUAGUAUUAUCACCAUAGAUUUGACUAUCUAACUUGCUCUUUGGUGGGAACUCCUAAAUUAAUUGUAGCAAAAAAUGAGGUUAAUUACCAAUUAUAAUUAUAGGAUGAAAAGAGACAAAUUAUAAUGUUAACUAUGAAGUUUACCGUAAGUAUUUUGAUGAUGUGUGGAUUAACACCAGCAAUCAUCUCCCUUGCAAAUUCCUCAUCAGUCAUCCAAGCAGAAUGAUCCACUAUUCAUGAUAGAAAAAUUUUAAUAGAACAUUGAACAUCUUUUUUAUGAUUUAGCAUGUAAAUAUAUUUACAAGACUAGGAAUUUGUGAGUAAUAUAUACCUUGAACCACUUUAGGUGGUGGGAAUUUAAGUGCCGAUUCACCAUCACUUCGGAAAAGUUCAGUAAACAAUGGUAUUGGGCUAAUUUCACUUAAUAUAUUAGUGGGAAGCUUAAUUCCACCAUCAUAGAGCGAGCGUACAUCUUCAAAAGUGUUAAAUUCAGGUUCAUUGAGUUGUAAUGUAACUACAGAUCUUAACCGAGGUAUGAUAUUUUGAGAUGCUGAUUUGAGUAUGUAAACAAGAAAAUCUGACGACUUCAAGUGACCAAAUGAUUCAUCUCUUGGAAGGUAAACAACGUCGCUCCGACUCUCACUCUUAGGAUCUGUUCACGUAUAAAAUAACAAAAUAUGUUAUAGAAACUACAAUAAUAUUUUUAAAAUCACAAGUAGAGUAAACAUUGUAUGAACAAAAAGACACAUUGUUCUGCUCCAAAAAAGUGGCACCAUGUCAGUAUAGUUAGCCUUAAUUUCAAUUAUGUCAAGGUACCAUUAAACAACCUGUAUUGGUCACUAGUAACAAAAAAACAUUACAUAAAAAGUUACAUUAAAUACAAUUUCACAUUUUAGUACAAUAUUAUUGGAUUUGUACUAAAAUAUACGUUAAAAGUAAAAUAGAAGGCUUAACCUUUGCUAGUUGGUUUUUUGCCAGUUCUACCCCUUCGAGGGUAAGGAAGGGUGCUCGAUCCUCCAAGAAUUGGACGAGCUAAGGUACUUUUCUUGUCGGGCUCACCCAAAUCAUUGUAGACAUCAUAAUCAUAUAUUCUUUCCCAUUCUUUACGUUCUCCAGUUCCAUCUCCUCUUAAAGUUUUCAACUCUUCUUUUCUAUAGUACACUAAUGGAGCUGGUGUUUCACUUGGAAUAUAUGUCUACAUAAAUUUAAUCAUUCAUAACCUCAAGUUUAACGAACAAUAAUCUAUAUAUAUAACAUUUUUAAUAAAUAUAUUUAACAAAGUAAGAUAAAAUUUAUAUACUUAAUUACCUUG